rnacentral:rRNA from 1 species
UGGGGAAUCUUGGACAAUGGGCGAAAGCCUGAUCCAGCCAUGCCGCGUGAGUGAUGAAGGCCUUAGGGUUGUAAAGCUCUUUUAGCAGGGAAGAUAAUGACGGUACCUGCAGAAAAAGCCCCGGCUAACUUCGUGCCAGCAGCCGCGGUAAUACGAAGGGGGCUAGCGUUGCUCGGAAUUACUGGGCGUAAAGCGCACGUAGGCGGACUCUUAAGUCGGUGGUGAAAUCCUGGAGCUCAACUCCAGAACUGCCUUCGAUACUGGGAGUCUUGAGUUCGGGAGAGGUGAGUGGAACUGCGAGUGUAAAGGUGAAAUUCGUAGAUAUUCGCAAGAACACCAGUGGCGAAGGCGGCUCACUGGCCCGAUACUGACGCUGAGGUGCGAAAGCGUGGGGAGCAAA